CUCCUGAAGCCGCUCUAAGGCCCCGCCCACACGAAAGGCCAUCAUGUUGGGCUUCUGGAUGAGCACUGAGGUGCAGAGGACGUGCACCACACCCAGACACAUGAUGCAGACAAAUCGAACCUGAAGCACAAGAAAAGAGAGAGACCUGAGGAAAAUAGCUGACAAGACAACUGCAGGGACAUGCAGAAUUACAGAGAAUCAAACCGACAACCUUCUGGUUUACCCAAAGUACUGGACCACAUCUCAAUGACAAAAAAUGAAAAAGGUGAAACUCUUUUUUUUAAAAAUUUUAAUUGCAUUUUGCGUCGGUCACUUGACUGGACUGUCAUGCAAAACAUUAAAACGUAUAAUAAUAAGAUUAGAAAACGAUGUUACUACAAUAAAAUAAUUUGUUCAGAAAAUAUAAAUAAUACUGUAAGAGAGAAGUGUUUUCAUGUGGUUUAAGAGGACACGGACUUAGGUUCCAGGUUGUUACAUGCUAUAAACUACUGAAUAACUGUUACUAAAACAUUUACAAUAACGUAACAAAACAAGUUUAACACAAUGUCUUACUUAACAGUUAUGUAUAUUUUAAAUAGUAAUAUACCUGUUAAGAUAUCUGUAAAUUACAAAUAAUCUGACAUUAUUUUAAACAAUAUUCUGGUACAGUUAAGGCUGCGAAAUUGCAUUCUUCCCGUAACAAGAAAACAUUUACAAGUAUAUAUGUAUGAAUACGUUCAAGAGUGUGUUGAACCGGUAUUAGAUAAAGCA